rnacentral:tRNA from 1 species
GGAGGGAUGGCCGAGUGGUUUAUGGCGCACGCCUGGAAAGUGUGUUGGGGUUAACGCCCCUCCGGGGUUCGAAUCCCCGUUCCUCCGCCA